AAUGAACGCUGGCGGCGUGCUUUACACAUGCAAGUUGAGCGAGGCGGCCCGCAAGGGCCAGUCGAGCGGCGAACGGGUGAGUAACGCGUGGAUUAUCUGCCCUGAGGUGGGGAACAACCAGGGGAAACUCUGGCUAAUACCGCAUGAUACCGAGAGGUCAAAGGGGCUCGCAAGGGCUCUCGCCACAGGAGGAGGUCCGACGUUCGAUUAGCUAGUUGGUAGGGUAAUGGCCACCGAAGGCGACGAUCGAUAGCCGGCCUGACGAGGGUGAUCGGCCACACUGGAACUGAGACACGGUCCAGACUCCUACGGGAGGCAGCAGUGGGGAAUUUGCGCAAUGGGCUAACGCCUGACGCAGCAACGCCGCGUGGAGGAUGAAGGUC
rnacentral:rRNA from 1 species